rnacentral:lncRNA from 1 species
GGAAAAAUGGGGGAAGUUUAUGUUUUACGAUUGCUAAAAAUAGUCUCAAGUAAUAAAUAAACUUUGGCUCGAAUUAAAACUGCUGAGGAGAAAAUAUCAAGAGAAGAAUAACGCUUAGUUAUUGACGCCUUAAUCCACCAAGCACAAGUGCUUUGUAACCUGAAAUUAAGCUAAGAAAUCAAAUUAGCAGCAAGGCUGAAAAAUCACUUACGAAGCGACUUCCUAUCCCUAGUAAAUUAUUCAAUUAGAGAACGUCCAUGAUUGAAAUUUACCUUUAAUUAUCUUUGUGUUGACCUGUUAAGGUUUUUAGAGAUUUAGAGACUUCGCCUGGCCUUAACCAAAGAAAAUCCACCAGCGACUUCUAAGAUUAAAUCUGAAGUUGUCUUAAUUAGCUACGGCCAAUUAAUUAUCACUAAUUCUAAGCUUAAUUGAGAAAUUCGAUUCCUCAAUUUGCACUUAAAUGAUUAUAAGAAAAUUUCCCAAAUUAAUUAGGUGAUCACUCCAAUUGCAUUAGGAAAAAAAUCUUUGGAAGAUAAAAUCAAACAAUUCAAGAAUGCCAAAUUUGAUUUUAGAACAAAAUAAAUUUUUAAAUCACUUGUGCUCGGUUUCAUAAGUGUCUAACUAAGCGUAAAUAAACUAGCCACUCAUAGCUAGUAAAACAACACGAAUCCAUUGAAAAGAACAUGAAUUACAAACUGAUUCUUGGAAGGUAAAGUUCUUCAAGUCGUCCGAUUUCCCUUCUCCAAUUAGCCGAAUUUACUAACUGCUACUCUAGCUCCUUGAUCGGAUUUGCUGGUCCAAUUCUAGAAAAUUCUGCUUGCUUGAAUCACGCCUUUCCUAUGCUGCUGUAUGUUUUUCUCUGUUUCUUCUCUCCGUUCCAGCUGCUGAUCUUCUCUAUUUAUGGGAUAAUAUCCUCCAAUCAAUUCAAAAAAUUAAAAUCAAUCUUAUCCCCCUUUAUCCUAGCUGAACCCAUCACAUGAA